rnacentral:lncRNA from 1 species
CUCUUUCGUGGAUUGAGGUUCGAGAGAUGAGCCGGGGUAGGCCAUCUCGUAGUAGAGCGAUUUGAGAUUAGAAGUGGCAAUUGAGAGGUAAGGGAAAGUGGUCUCUUGGAGACACUUGAAUACCAGAUAGCCACAUGGAAUUGUGGACAAUGCUCUCUUGAGGAUUGGAAGUCGAGAUAUGCCGGGGUAGGCCAUCUCGCGGUAGAGCAAGGUCCGAAUGUGGUUAGAACACUCGCGAUUGGGUGAUGCACCAAUGAUAUUGCUUUUGAGCAAUGUUGGUGAUCGAAUCGGAAUGCCCCGAGGGGGAAAGUGAAUGCAAAGAAGAGUUCUUGCAUGCCGAAUGGUGAAUGGUGUUGGAGCGCGUAGAAUCGUUGAGCUUCGACUUGCGCUACCACCAAGAAUGACGGAGACUCGUAAUGCACUUUCGGAGCUACGCUUAGCAAAAGUGAGUGAAUCUAGUCUCACAUCCUCUGUGGUGGGCCUUUGGAUGAUUCCAAUGAGUGAAAGGCCACCCCAG